rnacentral:rRNA from 1 species
UUUCAAGGACUAAGCCAUGCAUGCCUAAGAUCGCACGUUGACGUUUCCUACUAAUCGGUCUGCGAAUGGCUCAUUAUGACAGCUGCAAUCCACACGACGUUGUGCCACUGCUUUCUGACUGCAUAGAUCUCUCUUGGACACUUGGCUGAAAAGCACGACUUCGAUAAAAGGGAAAACUACGCAGAGACCCCCAGGCAGCGAGUAUCGAGGCAGAUUGGGACCUGCCGAGGUUGCAUGGAAGAAAGGUCAGGUGUGCGUGACCAAGGAGUCAUUGUGCCAUCCGAGUGCCAGGAACAAACCCACAGAGGUGAAAUGAUCGAUCAGUGAUGAAUGUGGAGACAACCUCUUGAAACAGUUGGCCAAUACAUGUGGAAAUCGCGCCUUGCUUCGCGAGAAGAUCAACCUCCUUACCUAGUUUUCGUCCCUGCAUUCCCUCCCUUCAUAUGAGAUCGGUAGGGGGAGAUCCGGAUCACGAAAAACACACGGGGAAAAUGUUACACGAGUUUCUUGCAGAGCUUGUGACCGAACACUGGGAGAUAACACGGGGCGAAAAACGCGGAAAUGAUCGUCUGGCAAACGCCAAGAUUGGCAACCUUGGUCCUGUGAGAGAGUGAAAUAAGAGAAAGCGCAACAGGCACCAGGAGGCCAUUCGUUGUCUGUGUGGGGACUGCGAAAUCCUGGACGCUGCACCGCUAUUCCUCUCUUAACUGGGGGGUCAUUAUUGUGACGUCGAAAAAACCGUGGUCGAGGUCUCUUGUGUUGUUCUCUCUGCAAAUGGUGGUUGACUGCCCUGUGUCCACGCGUAGUAAGAGGAGCUAUGUUGGUUCGCAUUUGAUCGAUACAAAGGCUUGUCUCAAUGUGUGCCGCUCUCUCAGAUCUGACCGCCUCGCCUUGAUGACCGGUCUCCAGGCGCAGAAAACCAGAGAACGUGUUUACCUGCGUUGUUGAUGAAUGGAGCACAAGAGGGUCCAGGGAAGGAUAUAAGUUAGCAGACAACGAAAGAGCAAUUUUGGCCGGCUCUGCCAACACCGCACGGAUUUGAAACGACAGCUGUUGAAACAGAUCAAACUUAGAGCCAUUUCAGCUUGUGCAAAGGUUGAAGAUCAGCGAUAGCAAGUUUCCCAUGUCGUCUAAACUGGAUUCGUUUGCUGAGUCAUAUGAGCAGCUGCCCUAUCAGCCUUUGAUUAUGGUGUAGCGAACCAUCAUGGCAGUUACGGGUAACGCGGAAUGAGGGUUCGAUUCCGGAGAGGGAGCCUGAAAAAUGGCUACCACAACUAAGGUUGGCAGCAGGCGCGCAAAUUGCCCACUCACAAAGUCCUGGAUGAGGCAGCGACGAAACAUGGCACACUGUGUUGACAGAUCUGUUAACCUUUGUGGAAUGGAUGAGAUCCUAAAUCAUGCAAUGAGCAUCAACUUGAGGACAAGUCUGGUGCCAGCACCCGCGGUAAUUCCAGCUCAAGUGGCGUACACUGAUGUUGUUGCUGUUAAAAAGCUCGUAGUUGACUGCUCAGGACGGAGAUGCCCUAGUACGAUGACAAACACGCAAGCUUCGACGCCGAGUUUCGUGUGAUCAUUCACCGUUGAGAAGCGUUGGCCCUCUCUUCACCGUAAUAAGUCCAACUUCAUUCUGUUUGGGGGAGUGAUUGACAAGCAAGUAGAGAGUUGGGUACCUUCGGAUUCUCUUCUAUGUGCUCUGACGCCGUACUACCGUCCCUCUCCAACGUCCCUCGGCAGAAGUUGGAGGUCUCUCACGGAAGCGAAUUCUCAAUCAAGACGAGACAAUGUAAACGGGGGAGCUGUUUCGAGCCUGUCUUCUACCACACUCCCGUAGCAGAAGUCAGGACAGCAAAACCUACCUUAUGUUGUUCUCGCCACCUGUGAGUGCACAAACGAAAAAGCGCCUCCGCUCUGGUGUGACUUUUGUGUCUCUCCUGGUGCCACACUGAACCGGGCCAUCUUCUGAAAAGCCGAUGCGUUCCCACACUCUUUCCUAUGCGAUGUCUUUAUGACACAACCUGUGGAAACUCCCUUUGAGAUCGUCCGUGAAUCGUUACCGUGACUAAAUCAGAGUACUACAAGCAGUUGCGGAUCAUUGUUACAAAAGGCGACUAUGGCCGUGCACAGACUGUAUGCUCAAGUGCGACAUGACAAGGGAUCGUCCAAAUGGAAAAUCAGGCACUCUGGAGAACCGGUGUCCCUUCUCUCUUUUCGUGCGUGCGUCUGGAUCGUUCGUGCUCUGCGGAAAAAGACGACUUGCGGCUCAAAACAACGGCAGCAGCGUAGUACACAAAGAAAAAUAGCGCAUGGUGGACUGCAUGACCGGAAACACGGGAACCCUUGAUGUCCAGCGAGAGGCAGACAGCAGUAAAAAACCACCCCUUAGGCAAGGGUGAGGCUCUCCUCUCCGGCAACGGACACAGAUUAAAAGGCAAGUACCGUUUGUUUGGAGGAUCUCCGUCACAACCAUGCGCUCUUGUGUGGUCUCGUCUGCAGUUUUUUUGGCUCGUCUUUUUAUGCCCAACCCGUGUUCAUGUUCGAUCGGCCGAAAACUAGAAUCGACUAUGGUUUACCGCCUUCAAUCCCAGGGCUUCGCCUUCUCAAUGUUCUGACAGUCUUUUAUGAACCAACUCUCAUGGAAAACUUGGAUCGGGGAUGAACAGGGGUCUUCCUUUUCUUGUCUGAAGAGUGCCGGUGUGUGCCUGCAUACACUAUCAAAAAGGUGCUUAUUAGAGAAAAGUAGAUGAGGUAAAAAGCCCAGGACCUAUAAUCACUCAGUAGUCCUCCUUUCCUUGUGCUGAAUGAGGCCGUUGUAUGUCAUGGGUACUGGCUGGCGAGCGGUGAAAUGCUUAGACCCAGUCAGGACCUCCAAAGGCUAACGCACGUGACGACUUCGCGCCUGUCAAUCAAGAACGAGAGUGUGGGGAUCGAAGAUGAUCAGAUACCGUCAUAGUCCACUGCUGUAAACGAUGCAAACUGGGAAACGGGCAUGCGUUCCUUCCGGAAUGUCUUACUCGGUUCUUCCCACCUCCACAACGAGAAAUCCAAGUCUAUGGGUUCAGGGGGGAGUAUCGUCGCAAGGCUGAAACUUAAAGGAAUUGACGGAGUGGCACCACAAGGCGUGGAGUGUGCGGCUUAAUUUGACUCAACACGGGAAACGUUACCAGACCAGAUCGUGUGCAGGGAUGGACAGGCUGAAGUACUUUCUUGACUCCGCAAAAGUGGUGCAUGGUCGUUCCUGGUUGGUGGAGUGAUCUGUCUGGUUGAUUCCGGUAACGAACGAGGUCUCUACCGCUCAGUAGACCACAUUCUCGCUGUAGGGGAAAAUCAGCGCCCUGGCCUAACAAUGCCCCAACAGCUGUUGGAAAGCUCGCCAAGGAGGUGCGACCCGAGAGAAAUGUGCAACAGCCGAUGCUUCUCAGUGGGGUUGAACACUUUCCAUACGAUACAGUGUUUUUACUCGGGAGCCGACAGCAGGUCUGUGAUGCCCUUAGAUGCUCUGGGCUGCACGCGCACGACACUGGCGUUAUCUACAUGUGUUGCCGCUCGUUCCUCUGGCGUUAUAGUAUGAUCAGUUCGGUGUUCGCGUCGAGAAAGGUGAAAACUUUAGCGCAGGGGGUAACAAGCCCCAGUUCUGAGACCGGAAUUGGAAAUCCCGUGAAUCUACGUCGUGAUUGGGCUCGGUAAUUGAAACUGUUUACCUUCAAAGAGGAAUGCCUAGUACGGACAAGUCAUCAGCUUGUGCGGAUUGAUGUCUCUGCCAUUUGUACACACCGCCCGUCGUUGCUACCGAUGAUGAAGUGAUAAAGACCAGAAGAGGUUCGUUUCCUAAACCCAAACUGAGCAAAUCUGUCCAAUAUUAGUUCGUUCGAGGAAGCAAAAGUCGUAACAAGGUAGCUGUAGGUGA